GACAGAGGGGGCAAGCGUUGCUCGGAAUCACUGGGCGUAAAGGGCGCGUAGGCGGGAUGGCAAGUCAGUCGUGAAAUCUCUCGGCUCAACCGAGAAACGUCGGCUGAUACUGCCGUUCUUGAGGGAUGCAGAGGAGACUGGAAUUCCCGGUGUAGCGGUGAAAUGUGUAGAGAUCGGAAGGAACGCCCGCGGCGAAAGCGCGGUCCUGGACGCCUACUGACGCUGAGGCGCGAAAGCCAGGGGAGCGAACGGG
rnacentral:rRNA from 1 species